CCUACGGGUGGCAGCAGUCGAGAAUCAUUCACAAUGGGGGAAACCCUGAUGGUGCGACGCAGCGUGGGGGAAUGAAGGUCUUCGGAUUGUAAACCCCUGUCAUGCGGGAGCAAAUUAAAAAGAUAGUACCACAAGAGGAAGAGACGGCUAACUCUGUGCCAGCAGCCGCGGUAAUACAGAGGUCUCAAGCGUUGUUCGGAAUCACUGGGCGUAAAGCGUGCGUAGGCUGUUUCGUAAGGCGUGUAUGAAAGGGGCGGGCUCAACCCGCGGACUGCACAUGAUACUGGGAGACUAGAGUAAUGGAGAGGGAGGCGGAAUUCUCGGUGUAGCAGUGAAAUGCGUAGAUAUCGAGAGGAACAC
rnacentral:rRNA from 1 species